UACAGAGGGUGCGAGCGUUGUUCGGAAUUAUUGGGCGUAAAGGGCGCGUAGGCGGUGCAGAAAGUCACCUGUGAAAUCUCCCGGCUCAACUGGGAAAAUGCAGGCGAAACUGCUGUGCUGGAGUGUGGGAGAGGUGCGUGGAAUUCCCGGUGCAGCGGUGAAAUGCGUAGAUAUCGGGAGGAACACCUGUGGCGAAAGCGGCGCACUGGACCACAACUGACGCUGAGGCGCGAAAGCUAGGGGAG
rnacentral:rRNA from 1 species